rnacentral:rRNA from 1 species
UACAGAGGUCUCAAGCGUUGUUCGGAUUCAUUGGGCGUAAAGGGUGCGCAGGCGGCGCGGUAAGUCGGGUGUGAAAUCUCGGGGCUUAACUCCGAAACUGCAUUCGAUACUGCCGUGCUUGAGGACUGGAGAGGAGACUGGAAUUUACGGUGUAGCGGUGAAAUGCGUAGAUAUCGUAAGGAAGACCAGUGGCGAAGGCGGGUCUCUGGACAGUUCCUGACACUGAGGCACGAAGGCCAGGGGAGCAAACGGG